rnacentral:lncRNA from 1 species
GUAUUAGAUUAAUUCUCUCUCUCUCUCUCUCUUUCAUUUGACAGAAUCUAUAAGACAAAACUAGGCAGCAGAUGGUCAGCAAGCUAGGAGAAGUUGCAGCACUAUGACUGGCCAGGCUGUGUUCUAGUGGAUUUCACCAAUCAUCUUUGGCCCUCACUUCCUUUACCUGCAAAUGACAAUGAUCUCAUGGAUCCCUCCCUCUGGAUUCUGGAAGAGAAAAUCUAGGGUGGAUGUAUCACUGCUCUGCUCUUGUGUGAAGUCCACACACGAACCGUGUAGGUGCUCCCAGGUCCACCCUACAUGCUGCCUUUGAGAGAGAAGUCAUCUCCAGGCCCAACAAAAACUUCCUUGGUGUCCACAGUUCCUCAUGCACUCCGCACUUUUGUCUCUCCUGGCAUACUUCACUACGUUCGGUAACCUGCCCA